rnacentral:rRNA from 1 species
AACGAACGCUGGCGGCAUGCCUAACACAUGCAAGUCGAACGAGACCUUCGGGUCUAGUGGCGCACGGGUGCGUAACGCGUGGGAAUCUGCCCUUGGGUUCGGAAUAACAGUUAGAAAUGACUGCUAAUACCGGAUGAUGUCUUCGGACCAAAGAUUUAUCGCCCAGGGAUGAGCCCGCGUAGGAUUAGCUAGUUGGUGGGGUAAAGGCCUACCAAGGCGACGAUCCUUAGCUGGUCUGAGAGGAUGAUCAGCCACACUGGGACUGAGACACGGCCCAGACUCCUACGGGAGGCAGCAGUGGGGAAUAUUGGACAAUGGGCGAAAGCCUGAUCCAGCAAUGCCGCGUGAGUGAUGAAGGCCUUAGGGUUGUAAAGCUCUUUACCCGGGAUGAUAUGACAGUACCGGAGAAUAAGCCCCGGCUAACUCCG